UGUAGUUUACACGAAUUUGGUCCU
rnacentral:miRNA from 1 species